AAGGGAAAAAGGAAGGAGAGAGAGAGAGAGAGAACGCUAAUUGGAGACCUAGCUACACAGAGGUCAAACCACAAAGGAUGCUGUAGGCCCCACUGACUGGGUGCUGUGUUUCUCUCCUGACAGUUUUGUAAAAAGCCAUUGUGACAUUAAGAAGCAACAGUGACAUAACCAGAGCUACACCCUGAAGGAUUUCUUACAAAUCUGAGAGAGACGAGAAGCAAAGAAGACACAGCACAUUCCAGGAGACUGCUAGCAAAUGGGUCUCACCUUGUUCCUAACAAGGUGGCUAACGAAACAGAAGAUGUGCAUGGAGUGGCAUUCAGGAAGGAAGGCUCGAAGGCCUACUCUCAACACCCGAUACAGAAGAGCAGGAAGAAGGCCAUCGAGUGUUAUAUAAGACAGGCUUGGAGACACAUCUGCUGGAAUUAAAAGUGGCUUCGUUCUCA